rnacentral:misc_RNA from 1 species
AACUGAUACUACCUGCGGGAACCUGCGGAGGGAUCAUUACAGGACUCGCAAGACUCCUACAACCCUGUGAACUUAACUAUAAGCACGUUGCUUCGGCGGGUGUCUCGGCGAGGGUUCUCCCUCCCCGGGGCGCUAAGCCCGCCGGCAGCCUACUAUACUCUGUCUCUUUGCGUUGGCAUCUCGAGUACAAACAAACAAGUUAAAACUUUCAGCAACGGAUCUCUAGAUCGGAAGAGCACA